GAAGGCCGGGGGCUAGAAGGCAUUCAGACACCACCGUAUUCCCGGCCGUAAACCAUGCCGCCCCGCGGCCGGCGCGCGCGUCCCGCCGGCCGCCCAGGGAAACCGGGAGGCUCCGGGCUCUGGGGGGAGUAUGGCCGCAAGGCUGAAACUUGAAGGCAUUGACGGAGGGGUACCACCAGACGUGGAGUCUGCGGCUCAAUCUGACUCAACGCGUGCACCUCACCAGGCCCAGACGCGCGGAGGACCGACAGCCGGGCGCGCUUUCGCGAUCGCGCGGGCGGUGGUGCAUGGCCGCUCCCAGCCCGUGGCGCGAGCCGUCUGCUCCAUUGCGACAACGAGCGAGACCCCGGCCGCGAGCGUCGCGGGACAGCCCGUGCGAGCGGGAGGACGGCGGGGCGAUAGCAGGUCUGUGAUGCCCUCAGACGCCCUGGGCCGCACGCGCGCUACACUGGCGGGGCCAACCGGCGUCCGCGAGGAUUUGUGGAGCCCCCGCCGUGGCCGGGACCGCGGGCUGGAACGCC
rnacentral:rRNA from 1 species